AUCUAAGUGUGAAGCCCACCUCAAGAUGAGAUUUCCCAUUUCUUUAAGAAAGUAAGAUCCCUGAGAGAUGAUCAGGUAGAUAGGUCAGAAGUGAAAGGCCAGUGAUGGUUGGAGCGGACUGAUACUAAUCGAUCGAGGACUUAACCAA
rnacentral:rRNA from 1 species